GGGUUGUGAGGUUAAGCGACUAAGCGUACACGGUGGAUGCCCUGGCAGUCAGAGGCGAUGAAGGACGUGCUAAUCUGCGAAAAGCGUCGGUAAGGUGAUAUGAACCGUUACAGCCGGCGAUGUCCGAAUGGGGAAACCCAGUGCAAUUCGUUGCACUAUCGUUAACUGAAUACAUAGGUUAACGAGGCGAACCGGGGGAACUGAAACAUCUAAGUAC
rnacentral:rRNA from 2 species